CGCAUCUGUGCAUGCAGCAUAUCAAUAAGCGGAGGAAAAGAAACUAACAAGGAUUCCCCUAGUAACGGCGAGUGAAGCGGGAAGAGCUCAAAUUUGAAAUCUUAAAGGGUUUCCCUUUACGAAUUGUAGUUUAAAGAAGUGUUUUCUGUUGAGGUUUUGGUAAAAGUUCUUUGGAAUAGGACAUCAUAGAGGGUGAGAAUCCCGUAUUUGACCUUUACUUUCAACUUUGUGAUACACUUUCAAAGAGUCGGAUUGUUUGGGAAUGCAGUCCAAAAUGGGUGGUAAAUUUCAUCUAAAGCUAAAUAUUGGCGAGAGACCGAUAGCGAACAAGUACCGUGAGGGAAAGAUGAAAAGAACUUUGAAAAGAGAGUUAAACAGUACGUGAAAUUGUCAAAAGGGAAGCGUUUGACACCAGUGUUGUUUUUCUGAAAAUCAAUUAAAGAACUGUUUAUGCUAAGCUGUUUAGACUUUAUCAGCUAUCUGUUUAGUUUUGAGCUUUUCUUUAAUGCACUUUUCAGUUAACAAGUCAACAUCAAUUUCUUUUGCUGUAAAAAAGCUUGAGGAAGGUGGCUUGAGAUUCGUCUUAAGUGUUUAUAGCCUCUUGCCUAUGCAGUCGGAGAGAUUGAGGUCUGCAGCGUAGAUCCUUCGGGGCUAAAUGCAUUUGUGCUAAGUUAUAGCAUUCUAUAGACAACUUGUUGACUAUGAUUUGUCUUGUAGCUUACUCGCUUAUGUUAUUUUACCUACGCUUAGGAUGUUGAGUCGUAGAGCACGCAG
rnacentral:rRNA from 1 species